rnacentral:rRNA from 1 species
GGGUGGUAAUGCCGGAUGCUCCAUCACACCGCAUGGUGUGUUGGGAAAGCCUUUGCGGCAUGGGAUGGGGUCGCGUCCUAUCAGCUUGAUGGCGGGGUAACGGCCCACCAUGGCUUCGACGGGUAGCCGGCCUGAGAGGGCGACCGGCCACAUUGGGACUGAGAUACGGCCCAGACUCCUACGGGAGGCAGCAGUGGGGAAUAUUGCACAAUGGGCGCAAGCCUGAUGCAGCGACGCCGCGUGAGGGAUGGAGGCCUUCGGGUUGUAAACCUCUUUUGUUAGGGAGCAAGGCAUUUUGUGUUGAGUGUACCUUUCGAAUAAGCACCGGCUAACUACGUGCCAGCAGCCGCGGUAAUACGUAGGGUGCAAGCGUUAUCCGGAAUUAUUGGGCGUAAAGGGCUCGUAGGCGGUUCGUCGCGUCCGGUGUGAAAGUCCAUCGCUUAACGGUGGAUCCGCGCCGGGUACGGGCGGGCUUGAGUGCGGUAGGGGAGACUGGAAUUCCCGGUGUAACGGUGGAAUGUGUAGAUAUCGGAAAAAAAAC